GCGAUAAGCGUCGGUAAGGUGAUAUGAACCGUUAUAACCGGCGAUUUCCGAAUGGGGAAACCCAGUGUGUUUCGACACACUAUCAUUAACUGAAUCCAUAGGUUAAUGAGGCGAACCGGGGGAACUGAAACAUCUAAGUACCCCGAGGAAAAGAAAUCAACCGAGAUUCCCCCAGUAGCGGCGAGCGAACGGGGAGCAGCCCAGAGCCUGAAUCAGUGUGUGUGUUAGUGGAAGCGUCUGGAAAGGCGCGCGAUACAGGGUGACAGCCCCGUACACAAAAAUGCACAUGCUGUGAGCUCGAUGAGUAGGGCGGGACACGUGGUAUCCUGUCUGAAUAUGGGGGGACCAUCCUCCAAGGCUAAAUACUCCUGACUGACCGAUAGUGAACCAGUACCGUGAGGGAAAGGCGAAAAGAACCCCGGCGAGGGGAGUGAAAAAGAACCUGAAACCGUGUACGUACAAGCAGUGGGAGCACGCUUAGGCGUGUGACUGCGUACCUUUUGUAUAAUGGGUCAGCGACUUAUAUUCUGUAGCAAGGUUAACCGAAUAGGGGAGCCGAAGGGAAACCGAGUCUUAACUGGGCGUUAAGUUGCAGGGUAUAGACCCGAAACCCGGUGAUCUAGCCAUGGGCAGGUUGAAGGUUGGGUAACACUAACUGGAGGACCGAACCGACUAAUGUUGAAAAAUUAGCGGAUGACUUGUGGCUGGGGGUGAAAGGCCAAUCAAACCGGGAGAUAGCUGGUUCUCCCCGAAAGCUAUUUAGGUAGCGCCUCGUGAAUUCAUCUCCGGGGGUAGAGCACUGUUUCGGCAAGGGGGUCAUCCCGACUUACCAACCCGAUGCAAACUGCGAAUACCGGAGAAUGUUAUCACGGGAGACACACGGCGGGUGCUAACGUCCGUCGUGAAGAGGGAAACAACCCAGACCGCCAGCUAAGGUCCCAAAGUCAUGGUUAAGUGGGAAACGAUGUGGGAAGGCCCAGACAGCCAGGAUGUUGGCUUAGAAGCAGCCAUCAUUUAAAGAAAGCGUAAUAGCUCACUGGUCGAGUCGGCCUGCGCGGAAGAUGUAACGGGGCUAAACCAUGCACCGAAGCUGCGGCAGCGACACUAUGUGUUGUUGGGUAGGGGAGCGUUCUGUAAGCCUGUGAAGGUGUGCUGUGAGGCAUGCUGGAGGUAUCAGAAGUGCGAAUGCUGACAUAAGUAACGAUAAAGCGGGUGAAAAGCCCGCUCGCCGGAAGACCAAGGGUUCCUGUCCAACGUUAAUCGGGGCAGGGUGAGUCGACCCCUAAGGCGAGGCCGAAAGGCGUAGUCGAUGGGAAACAGGUUAAUAUUCCUGUACUUGGUGUUACUGCGAAGGGGGGACGGAGAAGGCUAUGUUGGCCGGGCGACGGUUGUCCCGGUUUAAGCGUGUAGGCUGGUUUUCCAGGCAAAUCCGGAAAAUCAAGGCUGAGGCGUGAUGACGAGGCACUACGGUGCUGAAGCAACAAAUGCCCUGCUUCCAGGAAAAGCCUCUAAGCAUCAGGUAACAUCAAAUCGUACCCCAAACCGACACAGGUGGUCAGGUAGAGAAUACCAAGGCGCUUGAGAGAACUCGGGUGAAGGAACUAGGCAAAAUGGUGCCGUAACUUCGGGAGAAGGCACGCUGAUAUGUAGGUGAAGCGACUUGCUCGUGGAGCUGAAAUCAGUCGAAGAUACCAGCUGGCUGCAACUGUUUAUUAAAAACACAGCACUGUGCAAACACGAAAGUGGACGUAUACGGUGUGACGCCUGCCCGGUGCCGGAAGGUUAAUUGAUGGGGUCAGCGCAAGCGAAGCUCUUGAUCGAAGCCCCGGUAAACGGCGGCCGUAACUAUAACGGUCCUAAGGUAGCGAAAUUCCUUGUCGGGUAAGUUCCGACCUGCACGAAUGGCGUAAUGAUGGCCAGGCUGUCUCCACCCGAGACUCAGUGAAAUUGAACUCGCUGUGAAGAUGCAGUGUACCCGCGGCAAGACGGAAAGACCCCGUGAACCUUUACUAUAGCUUGACACUGAACAUUGAGCCUUGAUGUGUAGGAUAGGUGGGAGGCUUUGAAGUGUGGACGCCAGUCUGCAUGGAGCCGACCUUGAAAUACCACCCUUUAAUGUUUGAUGUUCUAACGUGGACCCGUGAUCCGGGUUGCGGACAGUGUCUGGUGGGUAGUUUGACUGGGGCGGUCUCCUCCUAAAGAGUAACGGAGGAGCACGAAGGUUGGCUAAUCCUGGUCGGACAUCAGGAGGUUAGUGCAAUGGCAUAAGCCAGCUUGACUGCGAGCGUGACGGCGCGAGCAGGUGCGAAAGCAGGUCAUAGUGAUCCGGUGGUUCUGAAUGGAAGGGCCAUCGCUCAACGGAUAAAAGGUACUCCGGGGAUAACAGGCUGAUACCGCCCAAGAGUUCAUAUCGACGGCGGUGUUUGGCACCUCGAUGUCGGCUCAUCACAUCCUGGGGCUGAAGUAGGUCCCAAGGGUAUGGCUGUUCGCCAUUUAAAGUGGUACGCGAGCUGGGUUUAGAACGUCGUGAGACAGUUCGGUCCCUAUCUGCCGUGGGCGCUGGAGAACUGAGGGGGGCUGCUCCUAGUACGAGAGGACCGGAGUGGACGCAUCACUGGUGUUCGGGUUGUCAUGCCAAUGGCACUGCCCGGUAGCUAAAUGCGGAAGAGAUAAGUGCUGAAAGCAUCUAAGCACGAAACUUGCCCCGAGAUGAGUUCU
rnacentral:rRNA from 1 species